rnacentral:rRNA from 1 species
UGGGGAAUUUUCCGCAAUGGGCGAAAGCCUGACGGAGCAAUGCCGCGUGGAGGUGGAGGGCCUACGGGUCGUCAACUUCUUUUCUCGGAGAAGAAACAAUGACGGUAUCUGAGGAAUAAGCAUCGGCUAACUCUGUGCAG